rnacentral:rRNA from 1 species
GAGUUUGAUCAUGGCUCAGAACGUACGCUGGCGGCACGCCUAACACAUGCAAGUCGAACGAAGUAGCAAUACUUAGUGGCAGACGGGUGAGUAACAUGUAGGUAUCUGCCCUUUGGCCUGGAAUAACACGAGGAAACUUGUGCUAAUACCGGAUAAGUCUUUACGGAGAAAGCUUUAUGCACCAUUGGAUGAGCCUGCACUUGAUUAGUUUGUUGGUGGGGUAAUGGCCUACCAAGACUGUGAUCAAUAGCUGAUUUGAGAGGAUGAUCAGCCACAUUGGGACUGAGACACGGCCCAAACUCCUACGGGAGGCAGCAGUGGGGAAUCUUGCACAAUGGAGGAAACUCUGAUGCAGCGAUGCCGCGUGAGUGAAGAAGGCCCUUGGGUUGUAAAGCUCUUUCGUCGGGGAAGAAAAUGACUGUACCCGAAUAAGAAGGUCCGGCUAACUUCGUGCCAGCAGCCGCGGUAAUACGAAGGGACCUAGCGUAGUUCGGAAUUACUGGGCUUAAAGAGUUCGUAGGUGGUUGAAAAAGUUAGUGGUGAAAUCCCAGAGCUUAACUCUGGAACUGCCAUUAAAACUUUUCAGCUAGAGUAUGAUAGAGGAAAGCAGAAUUUCUAGUGUAGAGGUGAAAUUCGUAGAUAUUAGAAAGAAUACCAAUUGCGAAGGCAGCUUUCUGGAUCAUUACUGACACUGAGGAACGAAAGCAUGGGUAGCGAAGAGGAUUAGAUACCCUCGUAGUCCAUGCCGUAAACGAUGUGUGUUAGACGUUGGAAAUUUAUUUUCAGUGUCGCAGGGAAACCGAUAAACACACCGCCUGGGGAGUACGACCGCAAGGUUAAAACUCAAAUGAAUUGACGGGGACCCGCACAAGUAGUGGAGCAUGUGGUUUAAUUCGAAGAUACGCGCAGAACCUUACCAACACUUGACAUGUUCGUCGCGACUCUAAGAGAUUAGAGUUUUCGGUUCGGCCGGACGAAACACAGGUGCUGCAUGGCUGUCGUCAGCUCGUGUCGUGAGAUGUUGGGUUAAGUCCCGCAACGAGCGCAACCCUCACUUUUAGUUGCCAUCAUUAAGUUGGGCACUCUGAAAGAACUGCCAGUGAUAAGCUGGAGGAAGGUGGGGAUGACGUCAAGUCCUCAUGGCCCUUACGUGUUGGGCUACACACGUGCUACAAUGGUAUCUACAACAGGAAGCAAGACUGCGAAGUUAAGCAAAUCCCUAAAAGAUACCUCAGUUCGGAUUGCACUCUGCAACUCGAGUGCAUGAAGCUGGAAUUACUAGUAAUCGUGGAUCAGCGUGCCACGGUGAAUGCGUUCCCGGGUCUUGUACACACCGCCCGUCACACCAUGGGAGUUGGUUCUACCUUAAGGCAAGGUUUCAAACCCUUGACCACGGUAUAGUCAGCGACUGGGGUGAAGUCGUAACAAGGUAACC